rnacentral:lncRNA from 1 species
GAGAAUAGAGAAUGGAAAAAAAAAAGCUAUCAGUGAUGGCUGAGUUUUCCCAAAUAAGUUCAAGGUGUAAAAACUCAAAUUUAGGAAACUCAAAUAGUAUUAUUAAAAGGAAAUCCGGGGGGAGGGGGACCAUCAGAAUGAAACACGAGGAAGAGGAGCUCUUAACACCAACUCACCAAUGGAAAACAAAAAGAAAUUAGUAGCCAUAGGUGAUUUAUGAGAGAUCCACAUAAAACCUACAGACAAAGAAAUAUUGGAAAUAAAAUAAUGGCACCAUAGAAAUACUAGUGAAAGAAAGUGGUGUGUCUCGAUUAAUAUUGGACAAGAUAUGUUUUAAGACAGAAAUAUUUAUUAGCAGUAAAAAGGGUCACUAUAUGUAAUGAAGACUUAAUCCACCAAAAAAUGUAAAAGUCCAAAACUGUUGCAAAAUACAUAAGAUAUAUAAAAUUAAAAAUGAAAGAAAAGGUAAAAUGGAGAAAUUCAGUUUUAUUGGAAAUGUUUAGUGUACUUCCUCUGUGGUGUCAUUCAGGUGGUGGCAUGGAUACUGCAGGCCAAGUUUGUUGUGAUAAUCAGGAGCAGAAAGUAGGCAGAAAGAUCUGAAAAACCUGCAGUUUGGCCAGAAAAUUGGGAGAAAAACUGGGACUAAGAAGGUGUGGUUGUUAAAAGGAAUAUAGUUGUUAAAGUGAAUAUACACUAAAAAAUUGCUAAUUACUUCACCCAGAAACAAUUGGAAAGAUGGCUUGAGGGCAUCUCAUGCUUAAGGAGUAAAAGUAAAAAUUUCAUUGAGAAGACACCAUAGGGGAACCUAGCUUACACAGGGGGGACCUAGGAAGUUGUUAUGCCUUGCUUAGCCAUCCAUGCACUCAAAGACUGUUGCAGCCAUGGUCCCAGGAGGCUUGACUACUGCUUCAGAUGGUGGCCGACCUUGGUGUCAAUCAUGUGGUACUGGUUCUGCAGUAAUGUAGGAUGCUGGAAUUAGGGGGUCAUGGAGGCUUUCACUGAGAUUUCAAAGACCUUAGAGGCCAAGCAAAGUACAGCAAGGACAGAGUUUUAUGGGCCACCCCUGCAAGGGCAAUGUGUGAAGAUGUGAGAAGGAAAACAAAGCUGCAGUAGAGACUCCCAAGAUUAAGAGAUGCCAGUAACAUGGAACAUCUGCCUAGGAAAGUUGAGAAAAUCCAGCAGACACAAGCCAAGUGAGAGGCCAUGUGGGCUGCAACCAGCAAAGCCAUAAGGGAAGAGCUACGUAAGCCAUUUGGAGAGAACAUGUGCUCCAGAUGCAG